rnacentral:tmRNA from 1 species
GGGGGCGAUUUGGGUUCGACUUAGUGUAUGAUGGCAAGAAGGAGCAUGCCGAGGUUGGUCAGUUGGCCUCGUAAAAAGCUGACCAAAAAAUAAGUGCAAGCAACAUACGCACAAAAAUCACAGAGGUUAUUCCUGUUAACGCAGGGCUAGCAACUGUGAUGCCGUUAGCCGCCUAACCGCGGCUACCGUCAACCAGCCUUGCCUACGGGGCUGGACCUGACGUCGCUAGUAGGCUGGUUCUGCGCUUUUAGCUUUGUGGCGUAGAAUAAGAUUUUAAAAGCUUGCUCUUCUUAAGAUCCUUCCUGUGGGAGCUUAAGAGGCUAAGACUAAAAUACAGGAUAAGCAUGUAGUUGCCUCUUGUUGCAUACUUAAGGACGAGGGUUCGAUUCCCUCCGCCUCCACCA